rnacentral:rRNA from 1 species
GACGAACGCUGGCGGCGUGCUUAACACAUGCAAGUCGAACGGAAAGGCCCUGCUUUUGUGGGUUGCUCGAGUGGCGAACGGGUGAGUAACACGUGAGUAACCUGCCCUUGACUUUGGGAUAACUUCAGGAAACUGGGGCUAAUACCGGAUAGGAGCUCCUGCUGCAUGGUGGGGGUUGGAAAGUUUCGGCGGUUGGGGAUGGACUCGCGGCUUAUCAGCUUGUUGGUGGGGUAGUGGCUUACCAAGGCUUUGACGGGUAGCCGGCCUGAGAGGGUGACCGGCCACAUUGGGACUGCGAUACGGCCCAGACUCCUACGUGAGGCAGCAGUGGGAAAUAUUGCACAGUGGGCGGAAGCCUGAUGCAGCAACGCCGCGUGCGGGAUGACGGCCUUCGGGUUGUAAACCGCUUUCGCCUGUGACGAAGCGUGAGUGACGGUAAUGGGUAAAGAAGCACCGGCUAACUACGUG